rnacentral:rRNA from 1 species
CGACGCGCGAUGGUGGUGAGGUGGGUGGUUGCGUUUGCGCCGCGCCGGGGUGACCGCGACGGCGGAGACGGCGCGGGAGGGCGCAGCUAGGCGGGGAAGGCGUGGAUGGACGCCGAUGAUGCCGCCCGGAGCCGCAGAAGGAUGGAUCUGAACCUCUACCUCGGCCUCCCCCGCGCCCCGCGCCCGCGCCGCCCCGAUCUCGGCUCCGACCUCGCCCUCGGCAAUUCCAUGCUCUCCUCCUCGCCUUCCUCCUCCGCCGCCUCCGCGGACGCCCCGCCGCCCGACCGGGACCGGGACCGGGACCUGGACCCGCUCCACCCGCCCUACUCCCCCACCCGCGCCGACCUGAUGCGCCCGCCGCCCGAGCCAUACCACAUCUCCGCCUCCGUGCUGCGCGCGCCCUACCUCCAGGCCGAGGAGGUUCCCAUAACCGAGCUCGCCCAAGAGUUCGGCUUCUCGCACCCGCCCCCGCCACCCCCACCGCCGCCGCGGCCCAGCGAGCUGCUCGGCUGGGUCGACCGCCCCUCCUCCUCCACGGCCUCCUCCACCUUCCGCCCGGAGCGUUCCGAGCGCUACCGCCGCGCCAUCUCCAUGAAUGGCCGCCAGCUGCGCUGCCUCCGUCCCAGGCGCUUCCGCUCAGACCUUCCUCCUCUCAGCUCCGAGGCCCCUAGCCCGGACAACGAGGCUGCACUGGAACCGCCGCAACAGCAGCCCGUGCAGGAUGCCGUCGAGGAGAAUAAGGUGGUUGACAAUGGUGCCAUGGUGGGUGCCGAGGAUGAGCCGGCGGACCGUGGCAAGAGCACUGCCAUGUUUGAGUGCAACAUCUGCUUUGAGAUGGCCGACGAGCCGGUGGUCACUUCUUGCGGCCAUCUCUUCUGCUGGCCUUGUUUGUACCAGUGGCUGCAUAUUCAUUCCACCCACAAGGAAUGCCCUGUCUGCAAAGGUGAGGUCACUGAAGGAAACAUCACUCCUAUCUAUGGGAGAGGGAAUUCAACUUCCGAUGUGGAGAAGAAAGUCGCAGACGAUGGCAACGUGUCCAGUCCUAACAUUCCCGCCAGGCCACAUGGGAACCGGCUUGAGAGUUUUCGACAACAGUUCCAUCAUUUGCGCCCAAUUUCUCGUAGGCUUGGCGAGGCACAUGGGAUAUUAUCUUCUUGGAGACGCAUUCUUGAUCAGCAGAUUAUGACUAGCGCGAGUAGGUUUGAAGGGCCUCCAGAAUCAUCUGUCCAGGAGAUGAUAGAUCAUGCUCAUCAGACUGGCCGUUUAAGCCGAAUUACUACUAGGAUGAGAGCAAGGAGGUUGCAAAGGGAAGCAGAAAAUCCUGCAUUUGUUUCUUCAUCUAUUCCAGACGGCGGGAUGCCAGGAAGCAGCACGCCGGAUCCUCCUAGGCGUAGUUCAAGUCCACUUUCCUCGGAAGGAAUUGAUUUAUUGCAACGCCUUACCCUUGUUGGCCUUGCAAAUACGGAAAGGUUGGCAACUGCAGUGAGCGAUCUUAGAAGAAUAUCCAGGCCAAGCCUCCGAGCAUCAACUUCGUCAAAUUUACCAAAUCAUGAGCCGCCAGUUGAUGGAAUUCAUGCUGCUGCAGCACCGUCUGCAGAUCAAACUUCUAAUUCAAGCACAAUGGCUGUGAUUCAGGAGGAUGCUGCUUUUACUGAAAGCGUAGGAGAACCUAGCAAUGCAGGGUCCUCAAGAACCCUGAGGAGGAGGGGAAGAAGCGACGCCUUAGGUUCGUUGGAUGUGGAUGGUGGCGAAACACACCGGAACAAGAGAAGGCGGCUGAACUAAAGCUAAGAAGGCCGAACCGAGUAUUGCAGAGGCUUCAAUGUUGCUCCAGUUUUUACGGUUCGCUCUUCUCAAUGAGCCCAUUUUAUCUCUUUGGGCACUAUAUGCUGAGUGUGAUCAAAGUCUUCCUCUUCUGCUUGGUUAAUAGGGUGCUGUUUAGUUGUUUGUUUGUUUAGUUCCUCCCAUGUUUAAUUUAUGCUAUUACUUUAGACAUGCAUACCAAGGAAACCUGAGAGAUUGUCACCAGAUGAAUUUUCCUUGAUCGUAAAGCAGAUGUGUACUAUAUGGGAUCAACUUCUAGUGUCAUAAAUAAUGAACUGUCACUUGAGUCUCGGUUGUAGAUGGCUGAAGUGAAAAUGUAAAACUGAGCUGAUAUUUAGUCCAUUGGAGUGAAUGAACGCGAAGUACUAAACAAUGUUGUCACUUUACUGGUUGAAUGCCAAGUAAGGGUCUCUGUUGUCGGUUUACUGGAUGAAUGCCAAGUAACGAACUCUGUUGUCGUUCUACUCUUUUGCAGCUGCCCUGCUGUUGUUCUUGCUACUGGGCAAAGAGGUAUGUUAAGUCGCAAUAAAGAAGAAAAGCAUUCCCUUUCCUUUUAUGAUAAUCUCAUCUUUGUUCUUGGUUGAUGUUUCCGAUGUGGAUCGUGAAAUACAUUGGUUGACGUUUCCGAUGUGUCAAGUCGCAAUAAAGAAGGAAAGCAU